AUAAAUAACACUAGAGGAGGCAUUGUAAUCUUAAUUCAGUCAAAAAAAGGGAACGCGGCUAUUGGGGGGCAAAUUUAAGUCCCGGAUGUGUAUUCGUGUUUCCAUUGGUGACGAGUUUCAAAUCAGCCAAUCAGAGCACGAUUUUAUAUCCGGGACUUGAAUUUGUACUCCUCUAGUGUUAUUUAUAAUCAUAGAUAUAGGAGACCUCCUAUAUCUAUGUUUAUAAUCUCUAUGAUUGGAAUCAGACCCCCCCUGUCAUUUUAAAAUAGUUCGGAAUUUGUCGACUUGCAUCGUACAGCGCCGAGAUCCCGACGGAGUGCCGGGCAUUUCCGAAUUUUAAAUUUUUUUAGUUUUUUUACCGCGUGAUGAAGAAGAAGCAAGAAAGAAAAAUGGAGGACACUUUUUUAUCAAAUUUACCCUUAUUGGAAGGUAAUAUGCCUUAUUUAAUAUCAAUCUUUGUAGUAGAGUACUUAGAUUACCAAUAUAGAUGGAAAUUUAGGACAUCGAGCCCGAAUUUAAUGCGAUUAUGUCGGCAUAAAGUUUGUGCUUCUGCUUUCCACGUGGUUCGCUUUAUGGGCGAUUGUCGAACUUUAAACCGUGUUUUAAUUCAUAAUUAUUGGCCAUCAAGUGAGUAAAAAGACUAACAAAGAUCUAGAAUUGUUUUAGUUGUCGAAAUAAAUUGUUAUCCGAGUUCUUGAAGAAAAUUUUUAUAUGGAAUGCUGUAUACAGUUCUAUUGAGGCGCUUGGUACAAGCUGGUGAAAUAGAAAUAUUCGUCCCACAAUUUCAAUCUUGCGACAAAAUAUUUUAGCAAUAUGGUGUUUUUGUUCGUUUAUAUGAAAAAAGGCCUUGCUUUUCAAAAUAAAACUAAGAAGUGAAAAUACCAAUAAGGCAAAAUCCAGAAUUGUGUUUCUUGACCUCACUGCAGGCUGGUGUAAAUUUUGAUAGUGAAAAGCUAGGAGGUGUGGUCUUCGGUAGCUGGGGCUUCUCGGUAAGCUGCCUAGUGGUUAGAAAAGAAGAUUGUUCUUUUGAACCACAUCUACUCCAGGCUCAAAAAUAUGCACCAGUAGCAGUGUAAAGCCUUUUUUGACAUGUGCUGGCAACCACAUCUAGAAGAAAAUGCAGAGCCAAAUAGGGUUGGCUGGAAAACCAGAAGCACCGGAUAUUGUUUUGUUUCAGGCUCUGAGGAGGAAGUUAAUCCCCCUUAGGCCAAAAAAAAAUAUGUGGGUUUCCGGUUUCUUCCUAUAAAAACUUAGGUAGGGUAGGUCGGUUUUAAUAUUUUUUUUAAACUUUUUUUUUCAUUUUCUGAACAAGCGGACACCAUUUUGUUUAGUCAGUGCUUUCACAUGCAAAGAUAAAUUUCCCUAAUAUUGCCUCAAAUUUUAAUUUUCCACAAACUUUUUCCUCUAAGUGGAAACUGGAAACACUUACAAACAUGAUCCAAUAGAAAAGUUUAGGGUCAGGAUUUAGACGUCCAAAAGCUAGGUAGGGUCAGGAAACCCACAUAUUUUUUUGGCUUUACCCCCCUUCUGAUGUCCUAAUACACUUACAAUUAUCAGAAACAAUUUUUUCUCCCCUCCCCCCUGGACAGCAAAAAUUUCCUCUGGGGUGGGAGUGUGGAUCUUUUCUGGAAUGACCCAUUUACACGCUACGAUUUGCCAUGUACGAUUUGUAUUCUGGUGUAUUAAAAUGAGUGCUGGCACCAUAGUUCAUUGCCAUGUCGUUAAAAAGAAAUUUCAAAUGCAGUAGAAUUUAAAUAAUGAUCAAGGUCAGACUAGUGUUAAGCUUUCGUUUGUUCUCACACCGAGAAAGUGCCUAUGAAGUAUAUAUGGGGUGAGGUAUUAAUUGGGACGUAAGUGCUGUUCCACAUUCCAGUCACGUGUGUUGUCUUGUAGCUAAUUGUUAUGUAUAUUGUUUAUCAGUGUCAUUGUAAAUAUUUGUGACAAAUUUAAUAAUAAUAGCCAGUUUAUGUGUGUUUACUUAAUGAAAUACGCCAGAAAUUGUACACUAUUAAUCGCAGCGUGCAAACAUAGAUUAACCAAACUAUUCAAACCCUCAGUAAAAUUCUCAUAAAUUUUUGUAGAUGUACAAUGCAAGAAUUAGAUCAUCAAAGGUUCCAAGAAUAUCGCAAGACCUCAUGAUUAUGAAAAAAAGACACAUUCCAAGAUCCUGAGGUACAGUAAAUGAUUUCUCUUCUAAUUAUUUCUAACCUUCUCCUUGUAUUUCUUGGAUAAUUGUGUUUGUAAUUAUUAAUUUGUUUCAUGUUCUCAAUAGUGAGUUUUCUAAAUUUUCUAGAUGUGUGUUGCAAUUUCAAAGAAUGUCUCAAGUUGUUGGCUGAAGUGUUUUUGAUCACAAAAAUGAACACUGUCAUUGGAAAGUAUAUAAAAGGUCUUCAUAUUUUCUUAUCUUAUAUGAAAUGUUUUGAACAUUAUGUGAUUGCUUGUGAUCAGUAGUCCAAUAAUCCCAGCAGAAUUUUGCAAAAAUAACAUUACCAUGCUACUUAUGACACAAAAUACAACAAAAUAAUAAACACAAUCUUUACUUACAAUUUUGCGGUCCCUCAAUUACUUGAUUAAGUUUUGUGUUGUCACUGAUCACAGAAAGUCUAUCAUUUUCAAAGCAUAUUAUAAGCAUUUUUAUGAGCAAACCAGAAAAUGACAAACUGUGUUUUGAAAAAUUUUGUUGAAUUAACAGUGAUGAUUCGGUUUGGACAUGCAUUUUUUCUGUUUGGCAUAAUAGCUAAAUUAUAAAAUACAGAAUAUAUAAAUUUGUGUUUAUCGGUGUUCUAUCUGAGAACAUAGUUGUUUCUACAUAUUUCCAAAGUUUUGUCGAAUAUAAAAAAUGAAAAGUUUGUCAGUAUUUGGCUUUGUUACAUCAGUUAAACGUUGAGAAGA
rnacentral:lncRNA from 1 species